GCCUACGUGUAGCAGCAGUGGGGAAUAUUGCACAAUGGGGGAAACCCUGAUGCAGCGACGCCGCGUGAGUGAAGAAGUAAUUCGUUAUGUAAAGCUCUAUCAGCAGGGAAGAAAAGGACGGUACCUGAGUAAGAAGCCCCGGCUAACUACGUGCCAGCAGACGCGGAAAUACGUAGGGGGCAAGCGUUAUCCGGAUUUCAUUGGUGUAAAGGGAGCGUAGACGGCAGUGCAAGUCUGGAGUGAAAGGCGUGGGCUCAACCCCAGGACUGCUCUGGAAACUGUACGGCUGGAGUGCAGGAGAGGUAAGUGGAAUUCCUAGUGUAGCGGUGAAAUGCGUAGAUAUUAGGAGGAACACCAGUGGCGAAGGCGGCUUACUGGCCUGUAACUGACGUUGAGGCUCGAAAGCGUGGGGAGCAAACAGGAUUAGAUACCCGGGUAGUC
rnacentral:rRNA from 1 species